AAUUUCAUUUUGGUCCCCCAAACUCUCCGUUCUCUCUCCUCUCCCACGCGGCCGAACCGCUCAACCCGACCCGGCCGAACGGCGGCCCUCCGGCCUCCUCCGGCCCCGGACCCGGCCUUCCCCGAGUUCGCCGUCGCACGCCUGGCCUCCCUCUGGUGUCGCUGUGCCCCGCCGCUGCCCCCAGACGUGGAUCGAAGCCACCCCAGCCGUGCGAAACCCGACCCGGCCGGAAAACGACUUUUCCGGCGAUGCACGGGCCGAUCG
rnacentral:lncRNA from 1 species